AUGGCGGCGGCCGUGGUUGUCAUCAUGGUCUUGGCGGCGGCGGUGGCAGCGGGUGGCGCGGCGACGGAUCAGGCGGCGCCGCAGCGGAUUCUGCUGGACACGGACAUGGACACCGACGACCUCUUGGCGCUCAUGUACAUCCUCAAGCAGAACCGCUCCGAGUUCGAGCUCAAGGCAGUUACCAUCAAUGUGAACGCGUGGAGUGAUGCCGGGCAUGCUGUGAAUCAUCUCUAUGAUAUCCUCUACAUGAUGGGCCGCGACGACAUUCUGGUUGGCAUUGGUGGCGACGGUGGGAUAUCAGAUGCCGGCACCAUAUAUCCCAACGUUGGCGGUUAUUUACCUCUGAUUGACCAGGGGAUCACAACCGUCGGGGACUGCCGGUACAGAAAAGCUGUUCCUCUGGAAGGUGGUGGACGGUUGGACAUUGACACAAACUGGGGAAUUAGGAGGAGCUUCCUUCCGCAGGGAAACAGAAGAUAUAUACCAUUUCAGCAACCUACAACACAGCAAGUAAUGAUCGACACAAUAUCUGCUGGCCCUACAACCGUCAUUCUCACAGGGUCACAUACAAACUUUGCCAUUUUCCUCAUGACUUAUCCACACCUGAAAGGAAAUGUCAAACACAUAUACACUAUGGGUGGUGGUGUGAGAUCGAAGAACCCGACAGGUUGCUGUCCAAAAGAUGUUACCACAGCUUGUACACCACAGCAAUGCGGCGAUAUUGGUAACCUGUUUUCUAGCUACAGUACCAAUCCCUAUGCAGAAUUCAACAUAUUUGGAGAUCCUUUUGCUGCAUAUCAGGUGUUUCAUUCUGGCAUUCCAAUCACACUUGUCCCUCUUGAUGCAACUAAUACGAUUCCAGUCAAUGAAGAGUUCUUUUAUGCAUUCCAACAACACCAAAGUACAUUCGAGGCAGAAUACUGUUUCAAGUCAUUGAAAAUGGCUCGAGACACAUGGUCUGAUGAUCAAUUCCAUGCAAGCUAUUUUAUGUGGGAUUCCUUUACUUCUGGUGUAGCCAUAUCUGGCAUGCGCAAUGACAAGGACUGCCUGCAUGGAAAUGAUUUUGCUGAGCUGGAAUACAUGAACAUUACAGUAAUAACUUCAAAUGAACCAUAUGGCAUAUAUGAUGGCUCAAAUCCAUUAUUCGAUGGUCAUGCUGUUCCCAAGUUUGGUCUUAAAAAGGGUGGAGUUCAUAGUGGUCAUGUUCAAACUGGAAUUGUAGAUAGCUUCUGUAUUAUAGAGGGAAGUAGGAAAGGGAGAUGUGAGGAUGGAUACACUAAGGAAAUUUCUGGUCUAGAAGCAGUCCGUGUUCGUGUUGCCACAAAGGCUAAAUCAAAUGUGGAUAAAAAUAGCCGUUUGGAUAGGGAAUUUUUCAAGAGCUUCCUAGAGGUCUUAACUCUCCGUGAUAACACAGGCCGUUUCGACAUUACAGCACAAUUUCCAUUCUACAGAGAGGUUCUUUACAAACCAAACUUUGUUAACAAAAGUAGAGGGAAAGUAACCAUCUUUGAUAUGGACAUGAGUGCUGGAGAUUUCGUCUCCCUUAUAUAUCUCUUGAAGGCGCCUGUUGAAGAAAUAGAUUUGAAGGGGAUUUUCGUCAGCGGCAAUGGUUGGGCGAAUGCCGCAACUAUUGAUAUCGUUUAUGACAUUCUACAUAUGAUGGGUCGUGAUGACAUUCCUGUUGGCCGUGGCACUUCCACCGCGUUAGGCACUGGAAUCCUUGGCUGCAAGUAUGUCAGUGCUAUUCCCCAAGGGAGUGGUGGACUUCUCGACUCUGACACUCUGUAUGGACUAGCUCGGUCUUUGCCACGAAGUCCUAGAAGGUACACUGCUGAAAAUUCAGUAGAACAUGGCGCUCCUAGAAAUACUGGUAAUCCGGAACUUCGGCAACCAUUGGCUUUUGAAGUUUGGCAGUCUGUUAAAAAGCAACUUGAUCCAAGUGAGAAGAUCACUAUACUUACCAAUGGACCUCUUACAAAUUUGGCCAAUAUUGUGCUCUCUGACAGGAAUGCAAGUUCUGUAAUAAAGAGUGUAUAUGUUGUUGGAGGCCAUAUCAGAGAUGAAAAUGAUUCAAACGGCAACGUGUUCACUGUUCCAUCUAAUAGAUAUGCGGAGUUCAAUCUGUUUCUUGAUCCCCUAGCUGCGAAAGUAGUUCUAGAAUCCACUAUGGAUAUCACUUUGAUUCCUCUUAGCUCUCAGAGAAAAGCUUCUUCCUUUCAGACUCUCCUUGAAUCUCUGGAGUAUGCUGAAAAUACUCCAGAAUCAAGUUUUGUCCUCCACUUGUUGUCAUUGCUGCAUGACUUGCAACAGAAGCACCGGCUGUACCAUCAUAUGGGUAUAUUUCUGGGAGAACUACUUGGUGCUGUUUAUUUGGUGGAAGGAUCAAACAUGGAACAUUCAUUAUUACUGAAGCCAAUAAGCAUUAUUGCUGACAAUACAACAAGCACGGAUGGACAGGUGGUAGUCAACGAACAGAGUGCAAAUUUGGUGAAGGUACUAGAGGAUUUCGAUAGCGACGAAUAUUACAGUCGAGUUGCCAACCAUCUAGGCAACAUGGAGCGAUCUGCCGUUAUUGGUAGUUUUACAGAACAGAGGGCAUCGUGGAGCAGGCAACCAGAUAACUUGAGAGUACGCUGA
rnacentral:rRNA from 1 species